UGUAAGUAUAAUCAUAAAUUUUCGUGUCUAACUUUGAUCGUCCGUCUUAUUUGAAAGUUUGUUAUGAUUAGUAUUUUAUCGUUAUUAGAUGAUAAAAUAUAAAUAGUAUUUUAUGCACAACUCAUAUUUUUUAACUUUUCAAAAAAAAUCUUUUAAAUAAGACGGACGAUCAAAAUUGUACACGAAAAAUCAUGGUUGUAUUUUAA
rfam:Oryza sativa Japonica Group DNA, chromosome 4, cultivar: Nipponbare, complete sequence.